UUUAAUGAGAGUUUGAUCCUGGCUCAGGACGAACGCUGGCGGCGUGCCUAAUACAUGCAAGUAGAACGCUGAGGUUUGGUGUUUACACUAGACUGAUGAGUUGCGAACGGGUGAGUAACGCGUAGGUAACCUGCCUCAUAGCGGGGGAUAACUAUUGGAAACGAUAGCUAAUACCGCAUAAGAGUAAUUAACACAUGUUAGUUAUUUAAAAGGAGCAAUUGCUUCACUGUGAGAUGGACCUGCGUUGUAUUAGCUAGUUGGUGAGGUAAAGGCUCACCAAGGCGACGAUACAUAGCCGACCUGAGAGGGUGAUCGGCCACACUGGGACUGAGACACGGCCCAGACUCCUACGGGAGGCAGCAGUAGGGAAUCUUCGGCAAUGGACGGAAGUCUGACCGAGCAACGCCGCGUGAGUGAAGAAGGUUUUCGGAUCGUAAAGCUCUGUUGUUAGAGAAGAACGUUGGUAGGAGUGGAAAAUCUACCAAGUGACGGUAACUAACCAGAAAGGGACGGCUAACUACGUGCCAGCAGCCGCGGUAAUACGUAGGUC
rnacentral:rRNA from 1 species